GUUAUGAUUGUUUCAUUAUCACCCUUCUUUUUUGUAAGACCCCAAAUACCCAUAGCAGUGAACGACGAUAUGGUACAUAAUUUUGUUGUUAACGUGUACUGAUUGCUGCUCUAAUAACGAAAACUAAUUGAAUAAUUUUUGCGCUAUAGUUCCACU